rnacentral:rRNA from 1 species
GUUUAUUGAUCAUGGCUCAGAGUGCCCGCUGGNUGUAGGCCUAACACAUGCAAGUCGAACGGCAGCACAGGAGAGCUUGCUCUCUGGGUGGCGAGUGGCGGACGGGUGAGGAAUACAUCGGAAUCUACUCUGUCGUGGGGGAUAACGUAGGGAAACUUACGCUAAUACCGCAUACGACCUACGGGUGAAAGCAGGGGAUCUUCGGACCUUGCGCGAUUGAAUGAGCCGAUGUCGGAUUAGCUAGUUGGCGGGGUAAAGGCCCGCCAAGGCGACGAUCCGUAGCUGGUCUGAGAGGAUGAUCAGCCACACUGGAACUGAGACACGGUCCAGACUCCUACGGGAGGCAGCAGU